rnacentral:rRNA from 1 species
UACAGAGGGGGCAAGCGUUGUUCGGAAUUACUGGGCGUAAAGGGCGCGUAGGCGGCCUGCUAAGUCGAACGUGAAAUCCCUGGGCUCAACCCAGGAACUGCGUCCGAUACUGGUUGGCUUGAAUCCGGGAGAGGGAUGUGGAAUUCCAGGUGUAGCGGUGAAAUGCGUAGAUAUCAGGAGGAACACCUGUGGUGUAGACGGCUUACUGGACCGCAACUGACGCUGAGACACGAAAGCGUGGGUAGCAAACAGG